rnacentral:rRNA from 1 species
UACGGAGGAUCCGAGCGUUAUCCGGAUUUAUUGGGUUUAAAGGGAGCGUAGGCGGGUUGUUAAGCCAGUUGUGAAAGUUUGCGGCUCAACCGUAAAUUGCAGUUGAUACUGGCAUCCUUGAGUACAGUAGAGGUAGGCGGAAUUCGUGGUGUAGCGGUGAAAUGCUUAGAUAUCACGAAGAACUCCGAUUGCGAAGGCAGCCUGCUGGACUGUAACUGACGCUGAUGCUCGAAAGUGUGGGUAUCAAACAGG